CGGCGUGCAGCUCGAUGGUCCGAGCAGCGUCCUUAUAAGACGAAGGUCGAAGGUUCGAUUCCUUCCACGCCGAC
rnacentral:tRNA from 1 species